rnacentral:lncRNA from 1 species
AUGCAGAAGGUGAUGACAAUGAUAUCGCACUCAUCACAAGAAGUUUCAAACGAAUACUCAACAAGAGGAGAUUCAGAAAAGGUGGACCUAGCAAUUCACUCCCAAAUCAGUUCAACAACCUGAGAAACAAAGGGAAGCUAGAGUUUAACAAAAAGCAAACAGAUAAGUGCUUUGAAUGCGGCCAACUUGGACACUAUGCAAGUGAGUGUCCAAUGAAGAACAGAAAAGGUGAAAGAAAACCAAGAAUCAACAAUUUCCAGUUCACAUGGAAUGAGUGCAACUCCGAUGGUGAAAUUGAAAAGGAUGAGGAAUCUGCUCAAUUGGCUUUCAUGGCCAUUGGAAAUGAUGAGGUAACAUCUUCUAUCUCUCAAUUUGAAAGUGAUGAUGAAACUGAUGAUGAUCUUGAAUCUUUCAUUAUAAAAUUGCAUGAUAGUUUGAAAGAAUCUUAUGCUAGAAACAAGGAGUUAAAACAGAAAAUUAGUUUUUUGCUUCGAGAUAAUGCAAAUUUUUUUCAACUGUGAGGCCCCAGUCCCAUCGUAAGUCGAUAUUAGGGUUAUUUGAUAUUCGGUAUGGAAAAUAGGGUUUUAUGGCUAGGAAGGAAACCCUAAUUCGGUUAAGUUUGAAAAUCCUAGUUUACGUAUUAUUAUUAUAAGGUUCAAGCUAUAAUUUAUAUUCGGUAUUCUAGUGUGUGCCUUGAUGUAAGUAAAUAUAGGAUUUGGUUUAAUUACAAAGGUUUAGUAAGUUUGAAUGAUUAGCAAACCUCUAGUGUUGCAAUAUUAGAAAGUUUAAGUGGAAGAUUAUUUGUCGCCCGCCUUUUCUACAUUUUCUUUAUUAGAAAAAUUUCCAGGAUAAUUUUUAUGAGUAAAUAUGGGUUUUAGAUGAUUUUUCAAGUAUCGGUUAGAUUUUGAGAAAAUAAGAACGUAUAUCGGAUGUGGGACCCACUAGUGCGGAAAGUUCGGAAAAAUUCGGCCAAUUAGGUUAAAUUCCGGAUACUGUGUGAAAUUUAUCGGGUGUUAAGAGAUAAGUAGAGAGUGAAAUUUGAUUGAUGUGAGAGGAAAAGAAAGGGAUAGGAAUGCAUUUAAGAGGUGACAAGUGUCACCAUCUCAUUGGACAUGAUUUAUGAUUUACUAUUCAUGCUUUUGACUUUUGACCAAAAUUGAGUAAAUAUCUCCAAAAUUCACUAAAAAUUCACUCAUUUCUUCUCCUCCAUAGCCGGCCCUCUCUCUCUAACAAAGAAGGAAAAAAACCUCUUCAAUCUUCAAGCUUUCCACUAGCUCAAAUCAUCCAAACCAAUUGCCUAAACUAGUUUCUACUCCAUACAACCUUUCCAUUUGGUGUUAGUGGUGAGUUUGGUGAAGUUUUUGGAAGAGCUAAGGUGGUCUACAACUCCUCUUCUCUUGUAUACUAGGUAAGAGAUGAUUGAACAUACUCCUACACCUAAUGAUGCUUAAGUUAUGCUUAGUAGUGGCUAAAAUCAUGAUAUUUGUGAUUUAUUUCUUGAUUUGAAGUGAUUUGGUGAAGUUUUUAUAUUUUUGAGGAAUUUUCUGGUUUAAUAUGAAUGUGAUGUUGUGGUCAUCUAUGAUGGUUGAUAAUGAGGGGGAAUGACUCUAGUAGGUGUGAAUUAGUGAUAAUUGCAACCAAUUUUGGGUUUGGAUUGAAUUGUGGAAAGUUAGGGUUUUAUCACCCCUUAUUCUGUCUGGUUUUGGAUCAUAGGGUUAGAGGCCGAAUUGGAUUUUUCUUAAAACAUGAAAGUUGUAGGUAUUGAUGUGUUUGAGGUGUCUGUAAAAUUUCAGGUCAUUUGGAUUAGUGUAGAGUGAUAUAUGUCGAUUUUACUGUGGCUGUUCUGGGUUGAUCAGGAUGGCAGAACUGCGUUUGUAUUUGGCUAUUUUGACUGGAAUUACUUUGGAUUUGGAUAUUGGUGUCUUCUGAUGAAAUAUAGAGGAAUGUUUUAGCUACCAUAUUCCUUUGGAAUCAAUGCAUUUGGACUUGUAUAGACUGAGUUGGACUCAUUACAGCAUUAUGUGAUUUGCAAACCUGUUUUGGUAAUUCUGGAUUCGUAUUUUGCAUAUUUGACAGGAUUUGGACUGAGUGGCCUUCUACAUUGUUGUAGCCCCUUAAGUCCUGGAUAUUCCUGUAAAAUUUCAGGUUAAACGGAUUAGUAUAUCCUGAGUUAUAAAUGAAAUACUCAGACCUGUUUUGACAGUCAAAUUCUGUUACGUUUUUGGAAAGUUUCUGACCGUGCCUUUUUCGAUUUUGAUAGAGUACGAUCUGGGUGUCGACUCUGUCAUAAGAAAUGUAGAUCUUGGUCACAGCUUAGAAACGCUAUAAAGUGCGUUAAAAUCCGAGUCCCGUAGCUCUAGUUAUGAUCGAAAUAAAAAUUCAUGUCAGGACUGUUCUUAUAUCCGGACAGUUUACGACUGGAACUUUGGCUUCACAUUUGACUGGGUUACAAGCUGUUUGGGCUUGCGACCAAAACACCAAACUUAUAGCCCUAUAUCAGAGCUUUCUAACGCCCUUGGAAUUUCAUGAAUCGGAUUUAUAAAACCUGAGAUAUAGCCGAGCAAACAAGGCCUGCCCGUGAAAAUGACCAUUUUCUGGUCAGAUCUGUUUUGGUCCUGAUGACCAAUUUCCGUUUCGGAUUUGGAUUGCCGACCUUCAUGAAAGUUGUUCCAUUUGGAAUGAACCAUCUAACUGCCAAUUUUCAGCUCUUUUGACCAUGUGUAGCAUAGAAAACAGUUUGCACUCAAAACUGACCGUUUGUGCAUUGGCCAGAUUUCGUAAGUGAUUGUGUUUGGUUCAUUUGGGACUGAAGCCUCCAGUUUCAGUUCUGGAUGUCUUCAUAACAGUUGUUGUUCAUCCUUUAAGCUUCGAUAUGGCAUCUCAUACGCCUUAAUCCGAUAUUCGUAGCUCAACUUAUGAGUAAACUAGAAAUGAGUGUCAAAUCUGCCGUUUCCGCUAACGGCCGUUUCCGUUUCCGUCCGUCAUAUUUACGUGCGCGCGUGUCGUUUUUGCCGUUUUGCUUGUUUUAGGCACGAUAGUAGCCGUUUGCGAUAUUAUGUGACACAAUCUUCUAUUUCAGACGGUGGUGAGCUGGGCGGAACUGGUGGGGCCCACUACUAGCUGUUCAUUUCGAUCCGACUUCGUGUUUUUGCUAUUUCAGAUUCUGAGUAAGUAUUCAGGCCAGUUUGGUGUGUUUUCUUUGCUAUGUGUUUGAGAUGUGUGAAAAGGGUACUUAGGCGAGGGUGUACUUUAUCGCACUCGACCUAAACCCUAAUUUGAAUGUAUAAUUGUACUUGGCAUAUGUAUAUGAACCUUUUGGAACCAAAACCCUUGAGCUUGUGGCUCGGGGCGACUUUCGAGUAAAGUUUGUGAAGUUUGGAAAGUUUGUGAGUUCGUGGGCCGGAUCUAAGACCUGUAUGGACUAUUCGAGCCGGUUAGGGCUUGGUCGAAGUCAGUCCAACUUAGUCUGAGGUCACCAAGUUUGUAGGUUCAUGUUAUGAACCAAUUUUGUGAAUCCGGUUCACCGAGAAGGUGACCAAGUUUGUGAACCGAGCUUGCGCCGCAAGUUCAAUUUCGUUCGCUCGAGCAAGUUUGUGAGGUGACUGGCCAGUGAGGGUGAUAAGGUGUUCGGUGGGUGUACAAGCGGGGUUCUACGGACUAUUAUUUGCGGUCGACGGAGUGUCGGCAGGAGAUCAUACAUGGCACAUGAAUUGGCUUUGGAGCCACCCGUAUCCUUAUUAUAUGAUGUUGUUCUUUUCUGCUUUUGCUUUACUCUUAUUGUAUAAUUGUUGCUACGUGAAAUUUAUGCUUUCGCCCCUGUUUACUUACUAAGCAUAUAGCUUACCCCUUUCCAUUUGUUUUCCUUAGCAGGGGCCGACGCGGGGACUUUUGGCUCGUAUACUAGUGUAGUUAGAUUGGCUUGUAAUAGUUGAACAGUUAGAAUGUUUGUUUUUGUUUUGGUGGUUUGUAUAAGGACCCUUCUUAGGGUCUAUCUUCUGCUGGUUGUGGUUAUAGUGUAUUAGAGUGGUUUGACUCGAGACUUUUGAAAAUGUAAAUAUAACUUUUGGGAUUGUAUAUAUUGUAUAUAGUGCUCUUUCGAUUUAUCUAGUUUUAUUGCUAUAAGUUUUGAAUCCUGGCGCGAGCUAGGCAGACGGCCCGCCGAUACCCUUGGGUUCGCCCUUAGGAGAAGUGGGGUCGUCACAUCAACAAAAUAAAAUAUUGAAAGCUAAAAAUGAUUAUUUCAAAAAGAGUGAGAUUGCUUUACUCCUUGAGCUUGAUAGAAAAACAAAGUUUUGUGAAUUGUUCAAAAAGGAACAAGGUGAUUUGAAAAGAAGAAUGGAUGGUCUAAAUGAGUUGCUUAAACACAAGAAACAAGUCUGUUUUCAAAAAAAUAUGUUGAAUUCUAAUUCCAAUGAAUUUGCUAUCCACAGGAAAAGGCAAGUCAGAUUUAUUAAACCCGUUCAUGUGAAUAACUCCUUGAUUAUGUGUAAUUUCUGUUGUCAAAAAGGUCACAUGAAAAAUGAUUGCUAUGUGAGAAAGAAUAUUAAAAAAGGCAUGAAAUGGAUGUGGAUAGUUAAACAUGAUGCUAACUCUAACAAGUAGGAGAUUUUGUUAAUCAUUGCAGUGAUUCUUGUUCAUAAUAUUUUUUUAUGAUAUUUUGAUCUGAGUUUUUGCUGAUAUUUUUGAAUAUUACUGAAUCUGUAUGAUUUCAAAAAGGGAGAGAAAAGAAUAAUUCUGAUCUAAUGAUGAUUUGCUUUGAUAUAUUGGUAUGUUGGUGAUUGCUGAAUUCUGGUUUCAUUUCUCUGUCUUUGUUUGAAGUAUUGGAUUUUCUGUUAGUGUUGCUGAAUUUCGGUAUGAUAUUUUUACUCUCAUCUAAUGAUGACAAAAAGGGGGAGAAAUGGAUACAAUGUGUAAGGGGGAGUUUUUCUGAAAUUAUGAGUCUGGCUCUUGAAAGUUUUGGAUGCAAUGUUUGAGGGGGAGCUUACACUUAUUUUUGUUUCUUUCCGUCCAUUGUUUUGUCAUCAUCAAAAAGGGGGAGAAUGUUGAUCUUGAUCCCUAUCUUUUGAUGUUUACAAAACAAAUGGAUGUUACUAAUAUUUCAUCAGUUAUGAAGCAAAUCAGUUCCAAAGAUCAAGUGCAAUUGAAAGAAGACAAAGUAUGCUGAAGCUGUCGGACGCUCAAAAAGACUGCAUCGGACGUCCGACAACCAUUGAGUAUCUUCGGACGCAGAAAAUCAGCCUACCGGACGUCCUAAGGAAUUGAAGAAAAAUUCUCAGAUUUACAUCAUACCUUCGGACGCAGAAAACCAGCCUAUCGGACGUUCGAAAGAAUUGAAGAAAAUCUCUUAAACUCUCUGCCUACUGUCGGACGCAUAAAACAGGGCUAUCGGACGUCCGACACUGCCAACGGAUAGUUGACUGUUCAGCUACUUUCUAUCCGUUGGAAACAUUAAUGAAGCACUUUCUUGGUCCUAUAUUAAUAGUGGUUGGUCAAACACUUCAAAUAACUUUGGCACACUGAAGAUACAAAAGAUCUAGAGAGAUUUUAGUGAAAAAAUACUCUUCAAAGAAGAUUUGUAGUCUUACUGGUGUGAGGUUCAUUGUAAGCUUUUCAUUUGUGAGUGAAUCUUUCAUGAGUGUAACUCUGUGAGGGUUGUCCUGAGGGAUAGUAAAACGUCCUGGCUUGACCGAGUGGAGUUCGGGGCAAGGAGGAGGUGAACCUUCCUUUGUACAGAAAAGUGAUUGUAAUUCAUCAACUUGAAGUAGCUUGUUUGAAUUAAUCUACAAGUUCAAGAGGAGUUGUGUGGUUAAUUGGUUUGCAAUUUCUUCCAUUUUAUUUACUUACUGUUACGUUUGUGCUCUUUAAAUUGAUUAUCUCUUCUACUCCCAAGCAGCCUUGCUAUUUUGUUAAUUGUCUCAUUGGUUGUUUUCGGGCCUUACAAUUAGUAUCAGAGCUUGGUCUCCUUGAGAUUAAGCUCAAUCGGCUUUGGAGUAAAGAUGACAACCAACAAUGCUAUAUUUUUUGAAGGACAUUCUGUGAUUAGACCACCUAUGAUUAAUGGGUCAAAUUAUGUGAGUUGGAAAGAAAGAAUAAUUAUCUUUUUACAUUUUAUUGAUAUUGAAUUGUGGUUUAUUAUUAGUGAUGGUUCAUAUGAUACUUCUCUUAUCGAUGAACAUACUCAUAGAUAUAGACCAAAAACAAGAAGUGAACUGACUGCUAUAGAUAGAACUCAUCUUACCUUAAAUGCAAAAGCCAUGAAUGUGUUAUAUUGUGCUUUAGACUCAAAUGAAUCUAUUAGAGUCAAAGGCUGCAAGUUAACCAAGGAAAUUUGAGAUAAACUGAGAGAAAUUCAUGAAGGUAGUGAGAAUGUUAGAGAACAAAAGAAGUCCAUUUUAGUUACAAAGUAUGAAUCUUUCAAGAUGCAACCUCAUGAAAAUAUUAAUGAGAUGUAUUGUAGAUUCAAUGAACUCAUUAAGGAUUUAGAGGUGCUGGAAAAAGAAUAUUCUCUUGGUGAGAAAAAUAGAAAAAUCCUGAAUGCCUUGUCCAAUGAUUGGGAAAAUAAAGUGACUGCUAUUGAGGAGGCUAAAGAUUUGAAUACCAUGCCCAUUGAAUCUCUUAUUAAUUCUCUAACAUCUUUUGAGCUAAAGUUUAAGUCCAAAAUGCAAGAGGAUGAGGGUGCGAAAGUAAGAAAGAGCAUUGCUCUAAAGGCAUCUCAAGAUGAAGAUGAUUCUACCUCCCUAGAUGAAGAAGAUGUAGAAGGUGAUGACAAUAAUAUCGCACUCAUCACAAGAAAUUUCAAACGAAUACUCAACAAGAGGAGAUUCAGAAAAGGUGGACCUAGCAAUUCACUCCCAAAUCAAUUCAACAACCUGAGAAACAAAGGGAAGCUAGAGUUUAACAAAAAGUAAACUGAUAAGUGCUUUGAAUGCGGCCAACCUGGACACUAUGCAAGUGAGUGUCCA